GACGAACGCUGGCGGCGUGCUUAACACAUGCAAGUCGAACGGAAAGGCCCUGCUUUUGUGGGGUGCUCGAGUGGCGAACGGGUGAGUAACACGUGAGUAACCUGCCCUUGACUUUGGGAUAACUUCAGGAAACUGGGGCUAAUACCGGAUAGGAGCUCCUGCUGCAUGGUGGGGGUUGGAAAGUUUCGGCGGUUGGGGAUGGACUCGCGGCUUAUCAGCUUGUUGGUGGGGUAGUGGCUUACCAAGGCUUUGACGGGUAGCCGGCCUGAGAGGGUGACCGGCCACAUUGGGACUGGGAUACGGCCCAGACUCCAACGGGAGGCAGCGGUGGGGAAUAUUGCACAAUGGGCGGAAGCCUGAUGCAGCAACGCCGCGUGCGGGAUGACGGCCUUCGGGUUGUAAACCGCUUUCGCCUGUGACGAAGCGUGAGUGACGGUAAUGGGUAAAGAAGCACCGGCUAACUACGUG
rnacentral:rRNA from 1 species